UACGUAGGUGGCGAGCGUUGUCCGGAUUUACUGGGCGUAAAGAGCGCGCAGGCGGUCGUGCAAGUCGCGUGUGAAAGCCCCCGGCUCAACUGGGGAGGGUCACGCGAUACUGCUCGACUCGAAGGCAGGAGAGGGAAGUGGAAUUCCCGGUGUAGUGGUGAAAUGCGUAGAUAUCGGGAGGAACACCAGUGGCGAAGGCGACUACCUGGCCUGUUCUUGACGCUGAGGCGCGAAAGCUAGGGGAGCAAACGGG
rnacentral:rRNA from 1 species